rnacentral:rRNA from 1 species
UACCAGCACCCCGAGUGGUCGGGACGAUUAUUGGGCCUAAAGCAUCCGUAGCCGGUUCUGCAAGUCCUCCGUUAAAUCCAGCUGCUCAACAGAUGGGCCGCGGAGGAUACUACAGAGCUAGGAGGCAGGAGAGGCAAGCGGUACUCAGUGGGUAGGGGUAAAAUCCGUUGAUCCAUUGAAGACCACCAGUGGCGAAGGCGGCGACCUGGUCCAUUACUGACGCUGAGGCGCGAAAGCGUGGGGAGCAAACAGG